CCUACGGGUGGCAGCAGUGAGGAAUAUUGGUCAAUGGGCGCGAGCCUGAACCAGCCAAGUAGCGUGAAGGAUGACGGCCCUACGGGGUGGAAACUUCUUUUAUAAAGGAAUAAAGUGAGGCACGUGUGCCUUUUUGUAUGUACUUUAUGAAUAAGGAUCGGCUAACUCCGUGCCAGCAGACGCGGUAAUACGGGGGAUCCGAGCGUUAUCCGGAGUUAGUGGGGUUAAAGGGGGCGUAGCGGGGUUUUUAAGUCAGUUGUGAAAGUUUGCGGCUCAACCGUCAAAUUGCACUUGAUACGGGCAGCCUUGAGUACAGUUGAGGUCGGCGGAAUUCGUGGUGUAGCGGU
rnacentral:rRNA from 1 species